rnacentral:rRNA from 1 species
GACGUAGGUGGCGAACGUUAUCCGGAAUCAUUGGGCGUAAAGGGUGCGUAGGUGGCGCCGUAAGUCGGGUGUGAAAUUUCGGAGCUUAACUCCGAAACUGCAUUCGAUACUGCGGUGCUUGAGGACUGGAGAGGAGACUGGAAUUCAUGGUGUAGCAGUGAAAUGCGUAGAGAUCAUGAGGAAGACCAGCGGCGAAGGCGGGUCUCUGGACAGUUCCUGACACUGAGGCACGAAGGCCAGGGGAGCAAACGGG